rnacentral:rRNA from 1 species
UCUCUCCUACGGGACGCAGCAGUGGGGAAUAUUGGGCAAUGGGCGCAAGCCUGACCCAGCAACGCCGCGUGAAGGAAGAAGGCUUUCGGGUUGUAAACUUCUUUUAUCAGGGACGAAGCAAGUGACGGUACCUGAUGAAUAAGCCACGGCUAACUACGUGCCAGCAGCCGCGGUAAUACGUAGGUGGCAAGCGUUAUCCGGAUUUACUGGGUGUAAAGGGCGUGUAGGCGGGAGUGCAAGUCAGAUGUGAAAACU